rnacentral:rRNA from 1 species
GACGAACGCUGGCGGCGUGCCUAAUACAUGCAAGUUGAGCGCUGAAGGUUGGUACUUGUACCAACUGGAUGAGCAGCGAACGGGUGAGUAACGCGUGGGGAAUCUGCCUUUGAGCGGGGGACAACAUUUGGAAACGAAUGCUAAUACCGCAUAAAAACUUUAAACACAAGGUUUAAGUUUGAAAGAUGCAAUUGCAUCACUCAAAGAUGAUCCCGCGUUGUAUUAGCUAGUUGGGGAGGUAAAGGCCCACCAAGGCGGUGAUACAUAGCCGACCUGAGAGGGUGGACGGCCACAUUGGGAAUGGGACACGGCCCAAACUCCUACGGGAGGCAGCAGGAGGGAAUCUUCGGCAAUGGGCGAAAGUCUGACCGAACAACGCCGCGGGAGUGAAGAAGGUUUUCGGAUCGUAAAACUCUGUUGGUAGGGAAGAACGUUGGUGAGAGUGGAACGCUCAUCAAGUGACGGUAACUACAGAGAAAGGGACGGCUAACUACGUG